AUAUACAUGCACCCUCCUCUCCUUCGCUCUCUUUCUCUUCUCCUUCCCCUAUUCCCCCUGUUUCUCUGAAUCUCCCUAAACUCUUUGAAUCUCUUUCUCUUCUCCUUCCCCUUCUGUUUCUCCUUCCCGUUUCUCCUUCCCCUUCUGUUUCUCCUUCCCCUUAUUUCUCGUCUUUCUCGCCUUUUUGGGGUAAUUCAGAUCCGUAAUUUUUUGGGGUUUUUGGGGUACGAAUUGCGGAAAGGAGGAGGCGAAAUACGAGGCAAGAGGUUAAGUUAAGUUAUUUUUUGUCUUUAAUAUUUCAUUCGGUUAUUAGAUUUUGUCAAAUAAUUUUACAGUUUUUUUGGUCAAAAUUGGGAAAAAUCGAACAAAAAAACCCUAAAUUUCGAAUUUGGGAGUUUUCAAUUCGGUCCAUUAUUCUUGAAAUUGUUUGUUCCAUGUUGUUAUUCUGUGUUUAAGGAGUGUUUUGCAACAAAAUUCAUGAAAAAUGGUUAAGUAUUAAACCUUGUAUGAGCAUGUCUUUGUUCGAGUUCGUUCUUUGUAUAAAUGGUUAGGUUUGUUUGUUAUUGUGGGCUGUUUGUUGAAAUCAUUAUGAUUCAGGGAAUCCUAAAAGGUUUUGACCAGGCAACAAAUAUUAUUCUUGAUGAAUCGCAUGAGAGGGUUUUUUCUACCAAGGUUUGAUUUGAAUCUCUUCGGUGUCUCUCUCUCUUUCCCCUUCUUUAAUUAAUUUAUUUAUUUUUACAGUCAUCAUGAAGUUUUUCUAUGUCUCAAGUCAAAACAGACCUACUUCGUAUAACAGCUGUUGAUGAUGCUGACAGUGUUGCUGUGAGAAGCUGGUUAGGCUUGUUGGAUGACUGUGCUGCUGUAAUUCUGCUGCCUAGUGCCAAGAAUUGAUCCCUGUUAGCUGCUGCCUCUGUUUACUGCCUGCCAGGUGCUAUGCUGGCUGUCUGAAGCUAAAACAGCCCUGCUGUGAUUGGUUUUUGGUGCUGCUGCCCUACUUUCUGUCUGGUACGCAGAGGAUUUGUUUGAGCUCUGGCUUUCCGGUUUGCUGUUGUCACUGCUGCUGCUGUUACUGCUAUCCCUCUGCUGUUGUCCCUGCUUGGUGUCGCUGCUUUUCUUUUCCUGUUGAUGCUGUCUGCCUGCUGCUGCUGCUGAUUCUGGAGGUUUCUGCCCUGCUGCUGUUAUUCUUUCUUUUUUUUUUCUGGUUUGUUGCUGUUUGUAACCUCCAAGUUUGGAGGGGUUUGUAUUUUUUUCACGUAGCGUAUUUAUUUGUGUAUGAGGACACGGUGCGGCUGUACUUUAUGAGGGCUUGCCCUUUUUUCUUUUAGUAAUAAUAUCCCUUUCUUACCUACCAAAAAAAAAAAAAAA